UGCAAGCAGUGCGGAAGUGAG
rnacentral:miRNA from 1 species